GCAUCCCAGCAUCACACGGGAGGGGUGGUCCCCCAAUGCAAUAUUCCACCUCUCCACCAAUUCCAAUAUUGGUGGCCAGUGGUGGGAGGGGCUUUCUGGUGUGCUAGUAUGGGGUGUUGUGGACUGAAGGGACUGGUUUGCAGA